GCUCCGCUGGCGCAAUGGUAGCGCGCCAGACUUCUAUUAUUGAAAUCUGGAGGGUAUGCAUCAUUCUCUCCAUCACCGCGCUCCAUGUCAGAAAACUAACGGGAUUCCAUAGUUGUGGGUUCGAGUCCCACGCGGAGUG
rfam:Cladophialophora immunda strain CBS 83496 unplaced genomic scaffold supercont1.1, whole genome shotgun sequence.